UACGGGGGGGGCAAGCGUUGUUCGGAAUUACUGGGCGUAAAGGGCGCGUAGGCGGUUGGAUAAGUCAGCUGUGAAAACCACGGGCUUAACUCGUGGCCUGCAGUUGAGACUGUCUGGCUUGAGUGUGGGAGAGGAGAGUGGAAUUUCUGGUGUAGCGGUGAAAUGCGUAGAUAUCAGGAGGAACACCGGUGGCGAAGGCGGCUCUCUGGACCACAACUGACGCUGAGGCGCGAAAGCUAGGGGAGCAAACAGG
rnacentral:rRNA from 1 species